rnacentral:sRNA from 1 species
CAGCAGAUUGGCUUGCAAGGGCGGCAUAGCUCCACUUUCCGAAAGGAGGUGGUGCCAUGGAAGUUAAAGACACGUUAACUUUAAUGUUAAUGUUCGGGAUGUUUAUUCUCGCUUUGCUUACCUACUUAAAAAAGAAGUUGGCCCCCUUAAGGUUGACGACCAGGGAGCCUAACUUCCACCGUUAACGAGCCAACCGCCCUUAAAAGCGGCUGUUGCAGGGGACGGUUGCAGCCGCCCCC